KGGCUUASAGUUUGAUCCUGGCUCAGGAUGAACGCUAGCSACAGGCUUAACACAUGCAAGUCGAGGGGCAGCACGGGAGUAGCAAUACAACUGGUGGCGACCGGCGCACGGGUGAGUAACGCGUAUGCAACCUACCUAUCAGAGGGGAAUAACCCGGCGAAAGUCGGACUAAUACCGCAUAAAACAGGGGCACCGCAUGGUGAUAUUUGUUAAAGAAAUUCGCUGAUAGAUGGGCAUGCGUUCCAUUAGGUAGUUGGUGAGGUAACGGCUCACCAAGCCGACGAUGGAUAGGGGAACUGAGAGGUUGGUCCCCCACACUGGUACUGAGACACGGACCAGACUCCUACGGGAGGCAGCAGUGAGGAAUAUUGGUCAAUGGGCGGGAGCCUGAACCAGCCAAGUCGCGUGAAGGAAGAARGGAUCUAUGGUUCGUAAACUUCUUUUGCRGGGAAUAAAGUGCAGGACGUGUCCCUGUUUUGKWUGUMCCCUG
rnacentral:rRNA from 1 species